rnacentral:rRNA from 1 species
UAAUACGUAGGGGGCAAGCGUUGUCCGGAUUCAUUGGGCGUAAAGAGCGUGUAGGCGGCCAUGUAGGUCCGAUGUGAAAACUCGAGGCUCAACCUCGAGCUGUCAUUGGAAACCAUGUGGCUAGAGUCCGGAAGAGGAGAGUGGAAUUCCUGGUGUAGCGGUGAAAUGCGCAGAUAUCAGGAAGAACACCUAUGGCGAAGGCAGCUCUCUGGGACGGUACUGACGCUGAGACGCGAAAGCGUGGGGAGCGAACAGGAUUAGAUACCCUGGUAGUCCACGCCGUAAACGAUGGGCGCUAGGUGUGGGCGGUGUCGACUCCGUCCGUGCCGCAGCUAACGCAUUAAGCGCCCCGCCUGGGGAGUACGGCCGCAAGGCUA